GUGGAAGAGACUGAGCAUGCRCGGAGAGGAACGGAGGAGAGCUAAGGGUGGAGAGGAGUCCUGGGAAUCACAGUUCGCCUGAGGGGGAAGCAAGGAAAGGUGAGUGCUCAAGGAGAGGAAYGGAGGAGUUCUCAAAAAUCGGGAAUGUGCCUGGAGAGGAUCUGAACUCACACAGAGCGCCGUGCUGGGGAGGUCAUUCUGGGGUUUCUGUACUGCAAAUGUGGAAGCUUCAACCCCAUCCACAGCCGUCAGAAGCAGCAAAGCAGGAGACGCCGAUGUCGGGAGGCAGCAGACGUUAAUCCAGGCAGGCCAGGAAAGGCUGUUAACCAGAAGGGAAGAGUGGGUAUGUUGGUGUCCCCUGCACGCAGCCUCUCUCCCCUUGAGUGGAGGGCAGGAACCACCGAGCUCCACAUCAUGCGCAGAGCACCGCGAGUCCCUGUGCCCCAGCGCUGCAGAUCUAGYGCGUCGAAUCGCCAGUGCAACAGAGCCCAGCGCGGCAACGACACKUCUUACUGCUGGCUCUGCACCGGAGACACCGGGCUGAAGCAGAAAAGGAGGAAAAGACCUGAUCCUGGUCAGCGCUGGCAUUUCGCACCGGAGCUGGCCGAGCAGCGUGCGUCUGCGUGCAGGAGGCAGUGA
rnacentral:lncRNA from 1 species